rnacentral:lncRNA from 1 species
AAACUAUUUUGAUUUAACUAUCGAAUCUUUCAAAAAUUUAAUUUUACUAUCCAAUCCAUCGAUUUGUUCGAUCUGAGUGAGUCAAUAGUAUUUUUAGAUUCAAAGUGCCGUUGGCUGACUCAAAUCGAACAAAUUCGAUAGAUUGGAUAGUAAAAUUAAAAAUUUAAAGGUUGAAUAGUUGAAUCAGAAUAGUUCAUAGUUCAAAUAAGUUUUGUGCGUUCUAUCAAAUUUAUGGUUUUAUUAAACUUCUCAUCAUAUAUUUAAGAAAGCAGAAAAAACGAAAAAGAAAAAAAGAAGUAUGCUGUUUGUUUGCUGAAACAAUUUUGGGGAGAAAAAGAAGGAGAGCGUUGCAAGUUGCAAGCUUAACCUAAAAGUAAAUUAUGACUGACGCGGAGAAAAUGCAUUAUGUACGGUUAGAAAGUAUAAUUAAAAAAAUCUAUUUAUUUUUAUAUGUAAUAUUACGUUGUGCAUAUGAUGAUAAUUUAUUUUUUCUAUAGUCCUGGUAAAACUAUAAAAAUAUGUUUUUAUAUACUUUCGUCCUAACUCUGUUUUGCAUACUAAAAAUGAAUUGGGCUUCGUUGUUUGGAUCGGAAAAGAUCGAAAUGUAAAAUGUGAGCCCGAGGCUGAUUCUUUCUGGGCUAAAUCUGCAGUGAUUUUUAGGUUGGACCGGCCCGUUUAUUUAUUUUAAGAAAUGAGAUUGCCCGUAUACAUGCAUAGGUUGAAUACUUGGAUCCCUCUUUUUUCUAAAAUUUUUAUAAUUUUUAAUAUAAAAAUAUAAAAAUACUAUUUUCUACAAUUUAGUUUGGUAUUAGAAUCACAUGUCCUAAGUUCGAGUUCCCUCGGGCUCCUAGAAUUAUUUAGUUUUAUCUCAUUUAAUCAAAUCCACGUCUCGGACGCAAACAUCUGAAUCAUGUAUAUUUUUGGGACUUCUAAUUCCAUCUUCUAUCUUCGUUCUUAGCUUCUUAAUUGAACUAAUUAGGCAUAGUAAACAAGAUCUUGUAGUCCUCUCUUGUAGUGUACAAAUAUGCGAUUAUAAUUUCCAUGGAUUGCUUAAACCGAAUCCUCUGUUCACUUUCACAAUUUUUUAUUUGAGAAAUGAUUCGGUACUUUUUUUAAAAAAAAAUAAAAAAGAUCUUAACCGUUGAUUAAUAGAGGGUAAAAAUGUAACUUUAGGAAAUUAAUUGAUUAACCAAAUUUAUGAAAUUAUUAGGCAUUAAUUUAGGAAUCUACUUUAAAUGUUUUAGUGUUUCUCAAAUUAUCCAUUAAUUUAAAUUAUAGAAAUUUUAGAAAUUGUUUUAUUUCUAAAUACGAUGAAUUUAAAUUUUAAAAAUUAAAUACUUAAAAUUUAAAAGUAAAAUUUAAAUUAGAGGAAUUUCGUAUUACUAUUUAAAAACUAAAUUUCUACCAAGAUUUAAAAUACAGUUUAUUCGCACCAGUUUAAAACGUAAUGCAUAAAAAACUUAGAAAGUAAGAUUUCUACAACUAGAUUUCUUUAGAGGAAUUUUAUAUUACUAUUUAAAUUUUAAAUUCAAUGAUUUAAAAACUAGAUUGAACCGAUUGAUUUGACUGAUCAGACUUUGACCUAUUCUAUCAAGAAUCUGAUUUUAACCUAUUGAACCGAAUAACAUUAAGAACAAUUUGGAACCGGUAAAGAUAAUAAAUAUUUUAAACAGAAUGAUAAUUUAACUGUUAGAGCUAAUAAAUAUUUUAAAUAUAAUUUUAAACAUAUAAAUUAAAAAGAUUAGAAUUAUUGGUGAGAAAAAAAAUAGUUAGGAAUUUGAAUUCGAAUCUGACUAACAAUCACAAAACUUAUUUCCGAACUCGACGGAUUUCAAAAAUCCAUAUCCAAAUUCAAAACUGACCAAUUUUUCGAAACCCAAAAUCAAACCUAAACCAGAAGACUAGAAUUCAAACAAUUAUUUCUGUUUACCAUAUUUCAAAGUAUUUAUAUGAAACUUAAAUUUUUAAAAUAUAAAUUUGAAUAUAAUAUUAAAUUUUAAAUUUAAAAGUGAAAUUUAAAUUAGAGAAAUUUUAUAUUACUAUUUAAAGUUUAAAUUCAAUGAUCAUAUUGUCAAAUCAUUUGAAAUUUUCCUUAUAUGAAAUGCCAAAUUAUGAAAGGAAAGAUAGAGAGAGCAAAAAGAAAUAAAGAAAAAAUAAAAAUUUUGAAAAUAUAGUAGAUGUAAAAUGACUAAAUUGCCCAUGUAUUAAAAGACAAAAAUAUCUUUUUUUGAGGUACCUGGUAACCGGUACCUCUCCCAAAGUGACCUACUAUUGCAGGUCACAAUUUAAAAAAAAUUAAAUCUAAGUCGUUGAAUACGCGUGAAUGAACGGUAACCAAAAAAAAAAAAGUAUAGAAGCAUUACUCUUUUUAUUUUCCUUCUUCGCAACAUUUCAUGUGUUAAUAGAGAUGAAGGUUUAAAUCAGUGUUACCUCUCUGCUACCAAGCAAUGUUUGCUCCUCUUCAUUAUCUCGCGAAGGUUUAAAUGAUUUUACGGAUAUUUGAAUUAAUGUUGCUGCUAUUUACCUACUAAAUCGCAAACUCGAGCUCGAAUAAUGUUUCGAUUAAAUUGGUAUGAUGAGUUAAAUAAAUUUCUGAGCUUAUUUAUUAUUAUAUCGAUCUUUUGGAUAAUAUAGUAUCAUAGUUAAUGUUUCGUAAAUCUCGUUACUUGAAUAGCAUUCUAUGAGAAUUAAUUUUAAAUCUUUUAUUCUGUAAUGCAGGUCGAUCUUGGAAGUAAUAUAUUGAGAGUGGUCAUCAAUUCAAAAUGCUCUAAUCAUCUCCGAAAUUGACGGUGAUCGAUUCAGUUCCCAUGAAUGGUUCUUUAUUAUUAUUUUCUUAAAAAAAAAAAAAGUCGAUUCAACGCCACAAAACAUGUACUACACUUGCAACCACAUUCAAGUCAAACACAAGUGCCUUGAUGAGUUUCUUUAAAAAUUACAACUUUUGAAGUGGAUCAGAAAAUGCAAGUUUAAGUAAUAUUAGAUUUCAACUUCAUGUAGCGUUUGUUUGCUUUCAACUGUAAUGUUAACCUCAUUUCUUGCAGCAACUGGUGAUAGCAGCAGAGUGAAGGUUGUUCACCGGCACGGCCCGUGCUCGCCGCUCAGCCGCCAAAAAGACACCAAUCACGCGCGCAUCCUCCGCCGAGACUGGUCUCGCGUCAAAUCCCUCUCUCCGCCGCAUAUCUUUCUUGUUAACAGCAACACUCAACAGUACGUCGUCGGCCGACACGACAAUCCCUGUCCGCGGUUGCUCCUUAUUUUCCGCCAGCGAGUAUGUCGUCACUGUCGGCGUCGGCUCUCCAAGCCAAGACCUCACCUUCGCCCUCGACACUGCCGCCGACCUCACCUGGGUCCAGUGCAAGCCCUGUGCAGUGUACUGCUACCUGCAAAAGGACCUGCUCUUCGACCCUUCGAAAAUCGACGACGUACUCCAACGUUUCCUGCUACUUCCCGGAAUGAUAUCACUUGUCACGUGUGGCACUCGUCCGUUAUCUGUACGAACGAGCCAGUCAAACCAUUCGGAGGCAUAAAGCCGGCUCACUUAAUAUACGUUCCAAGGUGGAUCUAAAAUUUAGGUAUGGCAUUGCACUGGAAGUUGAUAUAAGUCCGGGAUUCUUCACAUUGCUAGUAUAUCGCAAACUUGUUUCGCAUUUGCGAGCAUUGCGAGCGAGCGCGCGGCAUCGAUGGUAGAAAACACGCAGCAGAGAGGGUUGGAGAUUGUUUACAAUGUGUUCAAGAAGGUGAUUGGAUUUGGAGUGGGCGGUUGUUGUAGGAUGGAAUGUUUGUGGCUCUUGAGAAGGAAUAACUGGAGCAGAAAAAUAAAACUAAUUAUGUGAUCGUCUAUACAUUCGAUGAAGAAACAAUUUCCUGCUAAGUUUAUUUCUAAAUGAAAUAAACGAAGUGGGUAGCGUGCUAUCUAUCUCUCAAAAAAAAAAAGAAAAAUUUCUUUAUUUAAAUUUUGAGAGAGAGAGGGAUAGAAUGCUAGUUGCUUUGUUUGUUUUUUAAGAGAUAAACUUAAUUAAAAAUAUAAAAUAAUUAUAUUUCAAAUUUGAGAUUUCGAAUGUUAAUCAUCUACACUAACUAAUAAGUUGAAAAAAUAUUCACGGUCAAAUCCUUCUACCAGUUCAUCACAGACGCAGGACUGCACAUCCCGAUGAACCAACACAUUUGGAACUUGAAAAUUUCAGUAAAAAUCAAAGUCUUUAUUUGGCUGCUACUUCGGAAGAGAUUACUCACUGCAGAUAGAUUGCUCAACUGAGACAUACUUGUAGACCAAAAUUGUGUUUUCUGUGCGGUUCUCACGGAAAGCUGUGACCAUUUAUUCAGUAAUUGUGUUUGCGUUCGAUACUUUCUCCUCAGUGUGGAAAGAUUGGACGUAACUGACAACAUCAUGGGCGACGUCCGAAGCCUUUGGCCCGGAAUUUCUAACAACCCAGUUGAUUCGUUGAGAACACAAGGCUUGAUCCUUCUGGCUGCGAUUUGGUGGGUGGUUUGGACGGAUAGAAAUAACUCCGUUUUUCGGAGAAAUCCGCCCAACACUACCCGGUCUUUAGAACGUGUUAAAUUACUUAACAGCAAUUAGACCGCACUGCUCUGAUGUGUUACUAGAGCUUCUUUCCCUUUCUUUUCUCACCUUGUCUCUUCCUUUUCGCUUUUUAAUCUUACCUCUUUUUGCCGGUUUCUUAGAGAGGCCUUCGUUACUUCCAUCUUGUAUGCUCAAUUCAUUUUGCUUAAUGAAUGAAGUAGCUAGCUUGUUACCUAUUUCUCAAAAAAAAAAGAAAAAAUGUAAGUGAAAGCGAGCAAUAUUGGAGCCUCAGCAAAUGAAUGUUUAGAAACGGGACUUGUGUUGGACUAUGUCGGGCAUAAGCUUUAGACUUAGAAGAGAAACAGCUAAUCACAGCUCAAAAUCUAGCUUUGUAUGUUUAAUGUGGAUCAUGCCGGGCCGGCCCAUUGCCAGGACGAGGCCCGUGCGGUCCGUAGUAGACCGAGCAGUGGACUGAUCCGAUUAUUUUUUUUACUUUUUAAAUUUUUUAAUUGCUUUAAUCUCACUUUAUUAUUUUUUCUUUUUGGCCUUUUUGCAUAAAAAAUCCACUUAUUUUGGGCUUUUGCAAAACCGGGUCAUCUUUUUCGUUUUUGCAAAUUCGGUCUGCUUUUUCAGCAAACUGACCAAAAUACCCUUAUUACUUUUUCUCUUUCCUCUUUCUCUCUCCUCUUCGUUCUCUCGUUCUUUUUUUUUUCNGAACUUGGCGAGGAGGAUGGAGUAGCGGUCGCGACGCAUGCCGUAGACCCACUCGCGACGCGCGGGGUCGAGGUCGUGGGUGCGGUCGAAGAAGCCGACGAGGGGCGGCGCGGGGCCGGAGCGGGAGGAAGAAGAAGAAGAAGAAGAGGGAAAAAAAAAAAAGUGCUCCAGCAGGAGGAAGAAGAAGAAGAAAAAGAAAAAGAGAAAAAAAAAUUACUCCUGCAGGAAGAAGAAGAAGAAGAGCCCGCCUGGCGGUGCUCCGGCGGCGCGUCCGCCUGGCCUUCGCUUUUUUUUUUCGGUGAAAGAACGAGAGAACGAAGAGGAGAGAGAAAGAGGAAAGAGAAAAAGUAAUAAGGGUAUUUUGGUCAGUUUGCUGAAAAAAUGGACCGAAUUUGCAAAAACGAAAAAGGUGACCCGAUUUUGCAAAAGUCCAAAAUAAGUGAAUUUUUUAUGCAA